rnacentral:lncRNA from 1 species
GUAAAUAUUUUCAUUAGGGUUUAGCAUUCAAGGAUUAGGGUUUAGUAUUCAGGGUUUAGGGUUUAGUAUUCAGUAUUCAAGUAAUUACAAAAUAUAGAAUAACAGGAAAUACUUAUAGAAACAUAAGUAUACAUUUGUACAAAGAAAUGUAUAUGUUAUAAAAAUAAAAUGCAAUAAAUAAAACGCUUUACCAAAUUAAUUAUUAUUAUAAUAAAAAAUAACCAUUGAUAUGAUAAAAAUUGGGGAAAAAAUACAGUAUAAAUGUAAUACCAGGAAAAAAAACGCAAUAAGAAAUACAAAAAACACUAAAGCAAAAAGAAAAACAGAAAAAAUGAAAAGGAAAAAAAAAACAAAAGGGAAAGAAAAGUGAAAAAAACGCAAGAAAUGGCAGUUGGGGGGUUUCGAACCCAAUACCAAAGGGGUGAAAGUGGAAUUGCUUACCCACUACACCAGCAUUUAAUUUCAACAUUCCUAUAUCAAUUUAUUAUAUUUAUCCUCUUCUACGCCCAACCCAUGCCCAGACCCAACCUGACCCGCGCCCUGACCCGCGCCCAAAUCCG